CCUACGGGAGGCAGCAGUGGGGAAUAUUGGACAAUGGGCGAAAGCCUGAUCCAGCAAUGCCGCGUGAGUGAUGAAGGCCUUCGGGUCGUAAAGCUCUUUUACCAGGGAUGAUAAUGACAGUACCUGGAGAAUAAGCUCCGGCUAACUCCGUGCCAGCAGCCGCGGUAAUACGGAGGGAGCUAGCGUUGUUCGGAAUUACUGGGCGUAAAGAGUACGUAGGCGGUUAUUCAAGUCAGAGGUGAAAGCCCGGGGCUCAACCCCGGAACUGCCUUUGAAACUAGAUAACUAGAGUCUUGGAGAGGUUAGUGGAAUUCCGAGUGUAGAGGUGAAAUUCGUAGAUAUUCGGAAGAACACCAGUGGCGAAGGCGACUAACUGGACAAGUACUGACGCUGAGGUACGAAAGCGUGGGGAGCAAACAGGAUUAGAUACCCUGGUAGUCCACGCCGUAAACGAUGAUAACUAGUUGUUCGGUCACUUGGUGACUGAGUGACGCAGCUAACGCAUUAAGUUAUCCGCCUGGGGAGUACGGUGCAAGNUUAAAACUCAAAAUGAAUUGACCGGNNGAGAGNGCGAGACGACGACGAGGAGAG
rnacentral:rRNA from 1 species